CUUCACUGUUUAAAAACCUUCCCCUCAGCUAACAAUGAACCAUUCUACAUUUCCUUGAUUACCAUCUGCUUUGAUCAGUUGUUUUCACACCCUGCCCUUCCAUAUCUCUAGACUUCCUCUCCCCUGACUCUCACUCACAAGAAGUAGUCUUGACCCGAAAUGUCGCC